GGAUGAACGCUAGCGGCAGGCCUAAUACAUGCAAGUCGAACGGUGGUAGCAAUACCAUAGUGGCGCACGGGUGCGUAACACGUAUGCAACCUACCUUAUACUUAGGGAUAGCCUUUGGAAACGGAGAUUAAUACCUAAUGAGACAUUUGAUUGGCAUCGAUUAAAUGUUAAAGAUUUAUUGGUAUAAGAUGGGCAUGCGUCCAAUUAGUUAGUUGGUGAGGUAACGGCUCACCAAGACGAUGAUUGGUAGGGGAACUGAGAGGUUAAUCCCCCACACUGGCACUGAGAUACGGGCCAGACUCCUACGGGAGGCAGCAGUAGGGAAUAUUGGGCAAUGGAGGCAACUCUGACCCAGCCAUGCCGCGUGCAGGAUGAAGGCGUUAUGCGUUGUAAACUGCUUUUAUAUAGGAAGAAACAGACCUUGCGAGGUAAAUUGACGGUACUAUAUGAAUAAGCACCGGCUAACUCCGUGCCAGCAGCCGCGGUAAUACGGAGGGUGCAAGCGUUGUCCGGAUUUAUUGGGUUUAAAGGGUGCGUAGGCGGUUUAUUAAGUCAGUGGUGAAAGACGGUCGCUCAACGAUUGCAGUGCCAUUGAUACUGGUAGACUUGAGUGAGAUUGAGGUAGCUGGAAUGGAUAGUGUAG
rnacentral:rRNA from 1 species